UGAAAUUAUUUACAAUAACAAGCAGAAGUUGGCCAUUAACCAGGAAAAACAGAGGAGCAUUCCCCAUUUUGAGAAGAACAAUUUAUAUAGAAAACAUUUUAUGUCAAAACUAGCGAAGGCCUCCAUUGGCAAUGCAAAAAACACCCAUCUAUGAACAAUAAAGGAACAACAGUGCAGAAAUACUAACCUAAUAGCAGCAAUAUCACAAAAUAUAUGAAACCCAACUAACAUUUUCACCACUUCAGCAUGCCAAAAUUGAAAGAUCUUAUUUAAACCUACUAAAGGGGAAACGGAUUUGACCACAUAGAGAAGAAGAAGAAGAAGAAG
rnacentral:misc_RNA from 1 species